rnacentral:rRNA from 1 species
GACGAACGCUGGCGGCGUGCUUAACACAUGCAAGUCGAACGGAAAGGCCCUGCUUUUGUGGGGUGCUCGAGUGGCGAACGGGUGAGUAACACGUGAGUAACCUGCCCUUGACUUUGGGAUAACUUCAGGAAACUGGGGCUAAUACCGGAUAGGAGCUCCUGCUGCAUGGUGGGGGUUGGAAAGUUUCGGCGGUUGGGGAUGGACUCGCGGCUUAUCAGCUGGUUGGUGGGGUAGUGGCUUACCAAGGCUUUGACGGGUAGCCGGCCUGAGAGGGUGACCGGCCACAUUGGGACUGAGAUACGGCCCAGACUCCUACGGGAGGCAGCAGUGGAGAAUAUUGCACAAUGGGCGGAAGCCUGAUGCAGCAACGCCGCGUGCGGGAUGACGGCCUUCGGGUUGUAAACCGCUUUCGCCUGUGACGAAGCGUGAGUGACGGUAAUGGGUAAAGAAGCACCGGCUAACUACGUG